GAUGAAGAACGCAGCGAAAUGCGAUAAGUAAUGUGAAUUGCAGAAUUCCGUGAAUCAUCGAAUCUUUGAACGCACAUUGCGCCCUCUGGUAUUCCGGGGGGCAUGCCUGUCCGAGCGUCAUUUGCAACCCUCAAGCCUGGCUUGUGUGAUGGGUGCCGUCCCCUACGGGACGCGCCCCGAAGGCAAUGGCGGCGUCGCGGUUAUCCGAUCAGCCAAAGUGUAUGGGGCUUUGUCACUCACUUUACGGCCCGGACCGGCGCCAGUCCGAAUCAAUCUUUUUUCUAAAGUUGACCUCGGAUCAGGUAGGGAUACCCGCUGAACUUAAGCAUAUCAAUAAGCGGAGGA
rnacentral:misc_RNA from 1 species